ACUUGGCAAGAGACCGAAGCUGAACAGGGAAGAGCUCCCUUCCCUGACUCACGCCUGGCUGUCUAAACCUGCUGGAAAGAAAAUGCCAAGGCGGGAAGAGGAGCCCGGCUACCACUUGACUGCCUGGGAAAGAGGGCUGGACAAGGGCCAGUCGGGUAAGGAUGCAGCACACCUGCCUCCCGAAGCCUCCCACAGCCUGCCCGGGGCCUCAGGCCCGAGUUGGCACGGAGACCAUUCUAGCGGCACUGUGGUGACAAGGAGGAGUUUCACGUCAAGCGCACUCCUAGGAACGGGUGGCCCUGCGGUGGCGACGAGGUUUGGCCAAUGGAGAGACGCCGUGAUAUCCCACUGGGCCUGGACGUGCUCCACCUGCUUGCGGGGCGGUGGGGGGGUGCUGGCCCUGCUCGCCGGCAAACUGGGGAGAGACUCCCAUAUAAAAAUCAAAACGUGGCUGUGCGAAUCAGCAGUUCUCCAUCAGAACUCCUUCCAGAGAAGCUCCUUCCUAAGCCCUUAACAUCCGGAACAGAUUGACAGGCUGCAACCGCACUUGAUAAACGUGCCAAUGAACCCGAGGUUGAGCUCAAGCUUCCCCUUGUGUCUCUGGCUCUGAGCAAAUAACAAACAAGCAUGUCCUCAGAUGUACAGGCUUGGCAUGUGUCUGGGAGAUCGCCGUAAAUCCCAUUAUUUUACAGGAUAGACGGUCUUUCCGGGUGUCUAUGAUAUGUUUGGAAAGUUAACUUUAAUAAAUAAAGGGGGGUGGUGGUAGUGGAAGACCUUACUGCAUUUAAAAUAAAAACACUGGAGAGGGGGUUAACCCUUUGAAGACCAGGCGUUCUAAAGAGAGGUGAUCUUUCUGGCAACGUGAUUCACAAGGCAGGAUUUCAGGUCUCAGAGACGGAGCAGUAGUUCAGCUCCUGACCCGUGGGGCUGAUCUUUUAACUUCAUUUUCUCUUCCUAAAGUAAACACCCCUUUUUAAAACACCGCUCUUUCCUGAAUGGUGUUUCUCUGCUGGGCUGUCUAUUAAUUGUCAGUUUAUUUAGCAAACCUAGUUUGCUUGGGGUUGACGGAUCUGUUUCAUAUCCUUCCUUAAGAGAGACUGGCUUAUCUUUACAAAAAAGUGUUAUCAGGUGCCUGGUCUAAGGAUCAUUACUUUGAUUUAUUGCUUCCUCUGUAGCAGACACCCAAGAACAGGUUUUCCUUAAGCCAUAGCUGUACUUUUUGUUUGUUUGUUUGUCAUAAAUAUUCGGUGCCUCUCGUUUAUGCCUUAAGUGCUGAGCGGAUUUGGGGGCCAGACAUCUUGGGAGUUCAGCCAGGCACUGUCUCUCUGGUCCCUCAGCCUCUGAUGGGUGAGACCGUUUCCAGGGCCACAGGGAUGAAGAAGCCAGGGGACAGUGGUAGCAGGAGCAGGGGAUCCUGGUUCUUGAUUUCCCGGCAGCCCCAGCUUCCUGGAACUUUGGAAGGACCUGCCCAAGGAGCUUUCCACCCAGAGCCAAGAUCCCCUACUGGGUACGUGCAGGUCCCUGGCAGGCACGUUCCAAGAUCUCGGGUGCAUAUGGGCUGGGAGGGGACGGGGGCGAGUGAGGCCUGAGUGGGCCUGGGGGAUGCCCCAAAGUUCAAAGGCCUGAGAGGAGAAGUCAUUCUAGCCUUGGUUUGUUCUUUGUCUCUGGUGUUGGCGCGAAUCAUGUGCUUUCCCUCUGCUCUCCGUUUCUAAAAUGAACAUCUGAGUAAGGCUUUUAUAUUUUCCAUUUUAAGAGAAAUUCGGAAAGUUCAGAGAGACUGGGGCUUUCCCCAGAUUUUUGUCCUAAAAAAAACCCAUCCCCAAAUAUGUGUAUAUAUAAACAUCUGUCUCGUAUACACAUGUAUCAGAGGUAAGUCUUGCACUAUCAAACUCUGUCCUGGCCGCACGGGAAACAAGAAGAACCUCAUGCGGGUGUUUCUGAGCAAGACCCCUAAGUACUAGUUAUUUUGAGAAGAAGAAAGACAAGGAAAAGAAUGAGUGGAAGUUUCAGCCUUUCCUAAACUACCGAAUGACCCGAUAAUACUCAACUAGUUGAAAUGUUAAGGGAAGUUGGAAAGAUGAAAGAGCAGAACAGAAUUUCUUUGUGGUGUGCGUGUGUGUGUGAGAAAGAGAGAGAGACAGAACGAACCUUUCCAUUCUUAGAACCAUAACACUAACUAUUCAUGGCCAAAACUACUACUGCAGAUCCCAUUGGCUGCGAAACCCCAUCAGUCAUCAUUUCGUACUAUUUUUGCUCCUGUAUUUCAGAAGGGGUGACAAUAGCAAGCCCGCGGCAUUCCUUUUGGUUUUGUUUCCGUGGGAGUGAGGAGGGGUGGGGAGAGCUCCCUCGAUAGGCAGAUCCCAGCCCUGCCUUUGCUCAGGGCUGCCAGUUUGAGGAGCAUGUGGCUUGUGAUCCUUUUGUUCCUGUGGAAGCAAAAAAAAAAAGGCUCUGGGUAAAAAUAGGGUUUUAAAGUCUUUUUAAAAAAUGAAUAAUGCACAUCAGAGCUGAUGGCGAGGGAGCUGGGUGGGGCCUGGGAGAGAGCGAGCUGGGAAAGGCUGGUGUGUCCUCGGCAGCCCCUGCUCCAGGCAGCCCCCCUCCCCGACCUCCUCCCUGGAUUCCCUCGGAAGCAGUGCCUGGGGGGCAAACGCAAGAUUCCACCUUCUUCUCCCAUCCCUGCUUUUACGAUUUCAAGAAAGUCCACUGGCCCCGGGGCCUUUCACUGGAGGCAGGCGGACAAUCGCUGGGCUGCUGCUCUAGGCUCAGCUGCCUCCCAUCUGCUCCCGUUUCUCAAAAUGUCCCUCCCGGCCUCCUUCUGUCGCUCCCUGAAGCUCUGCUCCUUUGCUUCUCCCCUUUUUUGUCCUGUUUAUUCUUCUCUACAUUUUACUUAAAAAUUCCCAAUCUUGUCAUCAAACUCCCUUGUUCUUAGUUCACCGACUUCUACAUGUUUUAUUCUCAGCAGCAUCGUCUUCCUCUUUGACAUUUUGGAAAGAAUUUCAGCUCCAGCCAAGAAAGCAGGCUCUCGGGGGCUUGUCCAGGAGACACCCCCCACGAGGCAGGGGCAGGAGGCCUGCGGGGUGCCAAGGGGCCCUGGCCUCUCCCAUCUGUCACUGUUUUCUUUUCUGUGACCCUCGACUUUGAAGCAGGAAUGGGCUCUUCCAUGAGUUAAAUAAAAACAAUCGAUAAAAUCAAAAUUAAGGCUCCUGGAGGAGGGUGGGGACCGUUGCUUCUGCACCAGCCUUGGGUCCUGGUUCACCCCUGCCCACUGCGCUUGGCCCCUGCACACCCAGGUUCUUGACCGGGGGGUCACCUGUCACUCCUCACCUUGGAGGAAGGGCUGUGGAGAAGGUCGUGGCGGGUCCUACUGAUAAAACCAGCAGUGACUAACCUCAGAGCUCUCGCAUCCCAACCUUUUUUGGUUUUGUAGACGAGGACUCUGCGACUCGGAGGUGUUAAGGCCCGUGGCCAAUGGCUCAGGAUUGCUUGGGACGUACUUAUGUACAUGUGUGUGUGUGUUCUCUAAACGACUUUGGACCACAGGUUUCAGCAUCUUCGGUUACCAAGGAGACCAAGUGACUGGUCCGGCCUGAGAGGAGCCGGGCUGCACUGCACCUUGUCAGCUUUGCUGGCUCCUGAAAAUAGUCCUUAAAAAUCAAAAUAGCUUCCCUUUUUUGUUGUAUAAUCAGGACAUCUGUGAUGCUUCUUACUAUGUUUUGGUAUUAUUGUAAUUUAAAAAAACAUUGAUUUACAGUGUUCCUUCAAUUUCUGCUGUACAGCAAAGGGACCCAGCCUUAUGUACAUGUACAAAAUCUUUUUUUUUUUUUUUUUUCAUGGUAUAGUAUUUACUUUGAGUAAAAACGAAUGAGUCAGAACUCCUGCCUCAGAGUUCCCGUUGUGGCUCAGUGGUAACAAACCCGACUGGUACACAUGAGGAUGUGGGCCUCACCUGUGGGGUAUGGAAGUCCCUAGGCUUGGGGUUGAAUCAGAGCUACAGCUGCUGGCCUAUGCCACAGCCACAGCAGUGCCAGGUCCUAGCCACGUCUGUGACCUACACCACAGCUCACGGCAACGCUGGCACCUUAACCCACUGAGCAAGGCCAAGGAUCAAACCCACAUCUUCAUGGACACUAUGUCAGGUUCUUAACCCCUUGAGCCACAGCGGGAACUCCAGCUCCUCUGCCUUUAUGCUCUAAAUUCACCUUCGGAAAAUAUGCCUUUCAAGAGGACACGCUCUGUACAUUUUGCCAGAAACAAAAUUGUAGACACAGUUUACCUUUCCACAGGAAUUGGUCAGCUUUCUCCAAGCUCAGACGCUUGGUUCUCAGGAAGGUGGUGAACCAGCCCAAAGGGGAACCCCAGACUCAGUCAGAUUCUCUCCACACUCUGCGGUUUGGAUGGGAUGACCCAGGCUCUGGUGAUUCAGCUCCUUUCUAUGUAAAACGGGAAAAUACGCAUCUGUCUUGUGCAGAUAUUAUCAGAUGGAAUUUAUGAGCUUUUCAAAGAACACAGAGGGCCAGAGUACACGGUCCCAUGCAAGAACAGCAUGGUAGGUUUGCUGUUGUUAUCAAAGCAUCGUUGCUGCUCAUGUGAAAACAUUUUGAAGGUCUCUUGAUGCAUCACAUCUAGUGUGAAAAAUGAAAUCUGCCCAAGGACAUAGAAAGGACAUGCUGUGCUUUAUUCAUUUGACAUUCAGUAAUUUUUCAUUGAGAUCCUACUAUGUGCCAGGAGCAAAGAGGCACGUGUGACUUUCCUCUGGGAGUUUAUAGACUAGUGGGCGUGAGCUAUGGGACCCAGGAAAAGCAGAAGGAGAAGAUCCAGCAUAACUGGGGGGCGACAGAGCAGCAAGGACCUUUUUCCGUCUUACCUGGGUCUCCUGAUGUCCAUGGAGCAAGUGAUGGGGGACACCUGUGUUUUGUCUGCCCAACACACAGUCCUUCUCUGGGAGAGCAGCUGAUUGCUGACCAUUCGCCACGCCCGGUCCGUGGGGUCGGGGAUGGGGCUGACCUCCCUCCUGGGCUCUCAGUACAGGCACAUGAGCUGGGGGGCACCCGCUAAACUCCUCUUCUGCCUGGCCACAUGCAUCGGUGCGGGGGCCUGAUAGCCAGAUACAAUAGAGGAUGCUAUUUAGUUUGAUUCGCAUUUAAACUGGGGUUUUAGGUUAAUAAAUCAUUUCUUGUAUAUGUCCCAAAUAUCGCAUGGGAUAAAC
rnacentral:lncRNA from 1 species